AUGAGUGUGUGUAUGUGUGCAUGUGUGUGUGUGUGUGUGUGUGUGUGUAUGUGUGAGAUUUGGGGGUCACUUUUUCCAGCAGCAGAGCAGUCUCUUCUGAUGGAUACAAAGGAGAAAGAAGACUUGAAAAGAAGACAGAAUCUGUCACAUGAAGCAGAAAAUGGCACAUUCAAAACCUAUAUCCUUGUGAGCACAGCCCUAGAUCCUGCCUCGGAACAUGGAAGGAGUUAGUGCAAGGACAGUUUGUGAAGAGGGAGCUUAUCACCAACAGACAUGUCACAACAAACGCUGCAAAUCUCUAUCUCUGAGGAUACACAAGACAAACCACAACAUACUAACAUGUGGCCUCUUAUUAAGUCUUAAUCAGACCCAAUGGAGGACGGAGGAGACAAGGAAUGCAACUUUAUCUGGUGCCUGGUUUAAGAAAACUCAC
ensembl:lncRNA